UACAGAGGUCCCAAGCGUUGUUCGGAUUCACUGGGCGUAAAGGGUGCGUAGGCGGUCGGGUAAGUCUGAUGUGAAAUCUCGGAGCUCAACUCCGAAACUGCAUUGGAUACUAUUCGGCUCGAGGAGUGGAAGGGAGACUGGAAUGCUCGGUGUAGCAGUGAAAUGCGUAGAUAUCGAGCGGAACACCAGUGGCGAAGGCGAGUCUCUGGACACUUCCUGACGCUGAGGCACGAAAGCCAGGGGAGCAAACGGG
rnacentral:rRNA from 1 species